UACGGAGGGUGCGAGCGUUGUCCGGAAUCAUUGGGCGUAAAGGGCGCGUAGGUGGCGGGACAAGCGUGCGGUGAAAGCCUGGGCUCAACCCCGGGUCGCCGUGCGAACUGUUUGCUUGAGCACUGUAGAGGCAGGCGGAAUUCCGGGUGUAGCGGUGGAAUGCGUAGAGAUCUCCAAGAACACCUAUUGCGAAGGCAGCCAGCUGGGACCAUAUUGACGCUGAGGCUCGAAAGCAUGGGGAGCAAACAGG
rnacentral:rRNA from 1 species